rnacentral:lncRNA from 1 species
CAAUAUAUGCCUUUCUGUAGGGUUAAAUAUUUCGUAGUGGUGUCUUGACAUGGCUUUGUUUGGACUUGUUUGUUUGCUUUUUGGCCUUGAAUGUUUGUCCCUAAUAUUUUAUUAACUGUGCAUUUGCAUUCAGAUAUCGCAGAUCAAAUUUAUUCGUUCAUAGUGUAUUAAUGUACGUUUCUUGAUUGAGUUAAGCCUGCCA